UUUUGAUUUUAUUUUAUUUUGUUGCAUUUCUUUUAUUUUUUAUUUUAUUUUCUUGUCUUUAUUUGCGCAUGACUUUUUACGCAUGAGUACUAUAGAAAUAUGAUUGUGUAAUUUUAAAUUAUUUUUAUUAUUUUCCUCUCUUAUUUGCAUUAUUUUUAUUAUAAAUUUUUGUUUAUUGUUUUCCACUUAAUUUAAUGAUUUAAUUUUUCAUCAAAUAAUAGUUAUUUUUUUCCAUUUUGUAGUAUUUGUACUUUUUUAGUAGAGAGGUAAUAGAAUUAUAUAGUACUUAAUUGUUUCCAUAUAUUUUGUUAUGUGUUUAGAUUGUUCUAAUAAUUUAUUUCAUUUAU
rnacentral:lncRNA from 1 species